rnacentral:tRNA from 1 species
GGGGGUGUAGCUCAGUGGUAAAGUGCAUGCUUAGCAUGCGUGAGUUCCUGUGUUCAAUCCCCAGUACCUCCA